UAAGUCCUCUAGGAAUAGGAACUUCUGGGAUAAUAUCAAUGAUCUCAGAACUAACAAGAAACUUCUAAGAUUAAAAGAACCCAGGUCAUUGGAAAUAUAAGAAAAGAAAAGAAGAAAAAAUGAAAGUAUAUUUUGGAGAGAGUAUAAAGGAGAGAAAGUGAAAAAGUGUGUGUCUUUGGAGCAAACUUGAGACUUCUAUUUAUAGAUGGAGGAAACCGC
rnacentral:lncRNA from 1 species